CUGCUAUGCCACAUAAACUUAACUUUUAAGUCCAUUUUCCACAUACUUUUAGUCGUCCUAUCGUGUAUGUGUUGACUAACAGGGGCUGUUUCUCCUUUUCUGUCCAGGGUACUCUUUAAACCUUAGAAUUUAUUUUCCAUGAUUGCAAAAGGACCCCAGUGGCUGUGCAGCUCCUCCAACAAAGCCAGGUCUUCACCGGGAGGUCUGAAGCUCUGACCGCUUCCUUUGCUGACCUGUUGUGAGCCAUGCAGAGUUUUGCACGUUGUGAGCACAGAAUAUGUCCAGGAGGCCUGGAAACAGAAGGCGGAGUGGCUUGGGUUCAACAUGGAGCCUGGCGCACAGGUCUGAGAGCCAGGGUGGAUGGAGGCAAGUCCAGGGGGGUUCGCCAGCCCCUGCCUUCUCUGUGACUUGCAGUAGAGCCCAGCGCUGUCGUUGCACAGGGAGACGACAUCUGGCCCCCAGGGAAGCCUGCAUGGGAGCCCACCUGGCAGGAAGAGGCCUUUUACACCGCAGGCCCAGGGCCUUUGAGGAACCAGAAUUCCCAGUGCGGGGGGCAUCCCCAUGGUAGCAGCCACCGCCUGGCUCCGAGCAUCCUGGAGAAGACUCGGUUCUCGGGAAUUUGGAAGGUCCGGCUAAGCCUUUGUGGGCAUCUCAGAGCUGGGGAGACAGGAAACGAGCAGAGAGAACACGGCUACGCACAGGAGACUGGUGAAGCAGUGGCUGAGUCUCACAGGAUGCCGGUUGCUGUUACAUGUGCCAUCUUGCUGUGGGCUGUGCUCAAGCGUUCCCAGGGGACACCUCUGGUCUCGGCCACUCACCUUCAUCCUGACCUCCCAGGGGUACUGACAGGCGACUGCCACCACGAAGUCAUCAGGUUCCAACUCCAGCCUCCCCAGGCAGGUCCCUUCUGCGAUGCCCGUUUCUUCAUGUGCAUUUGUUUUGGUAAGAUUUACUUGUUUGAAAGAUAAAGUGACAGGAAGACAGUGAGACGGAGAAAUCUUUGUUUGCUGGUUCACUCCCCAAAAGGGCUGCACCAGGGUUGGGCCAGGCUGAAGCUGAGAGCCAGGAACUCCAUGCUGACUUCUCACAAGGGUACAUGGGUGGCCAGGGGCCCCCGUGUGUGGGUCUUCCUCCAUUUCCUUCCCAUGGCUAUCAACAGGGAGCUGGACUGGAAACAGAGCAGCUGGAACUGGAACUGGCACUCUGCUGUGGGAUGGCAGGUUCACAAGUGGUGGCUUAGCUCACUGGGCCUCAGCCCCAGCCCCUCGAUCCAUUCUUCACCCUGCCUCUGAUUUUGUGACCCUCAAGAGGUCACUGUCAGUGUCUUUGUCUCCUGCUCACCUUAUGUCGAUUCCCACCAAUUCUGAGGAUCUUUCCUACUCCAUCUCUCGGCUUCUUUCCUCCCAUUAGGACUCUUUGAGUUAGGAGAGCCAAACUCCAGCUGUCCCAGGCUCAAGCACAGCACUGAAUGGAUUGGCUUAGGCAUCUGAGAAGUGGGGUCGAGCCCCUUGUACGAUGUUGGGAAGAAUGGCCUGUCUCUGCCUCUUUGGCCUGGUUGUGUUUGCACUCUUAGGCGAGCUCUUGCCCUGCAGUGUCAGAUGUGGAAGGUGGAAGCUGUAUGCCCCUCGUUCGAGUCCUCAUUGUCCUCUUCACUCCUAUUCACUCUACCCUCAAAACUGAGGUGCACCGCCUGCUGUUUGCUAAGUCAUGGAGCUCCUGAGCCUGACCUUCAGUCACAGCCAGUCUUCAUGUUUAGCAAGAAGGGCCUCAGCAGGGCCGGUGUUGUGGCACAGUGGGUUAAGCCGCUGCUCACACCAUGGCCAUCCCAUAUAAGUUCUGGUUCAAUUCCUGGCUGCCCCACUUCCAAUCCAUCUCCCUGCUGAUGUGCCUGAGAAAGCAGCAGAGGAUGGCCCAAGUGCUAGGACCCCUGCACCCAUGUGAGAGACCCAGAUGGAGUUCUAGGCUCCUGGCUUCAGCCUGGCCCAGUCUCGGCUCCUACAGCUAUUUGGGAAGUGAACCAGUGGAUGGAAGAUCUCUCUCUCUCUUUGUUAACACUGCCUUUCAAAUAUAUAAGCUUUUAUUUUAAAAAUGUCUCAGACAGGAAAGAGAAGAGACUUUUCUGCACCACACCACUUUUCAAACAAAUCUGAGUGUAUGGGAUGUUCAAUUGAUAAUAUUCGUUAGAAUGCAAAACUUGUUUUUCUAUGUAAUGGCAGGAAAUUUGUGGAUAAUCCUAUUACCAGCUUGCUCUGUUCACUGUCUUUGGAAGAAUAAUUUGAAUAAAGGAGUCUAGGAAAACUGCUAAGACUUCAAGAAAUACUGCAAAUUGUGAUAAUAACCUUCAAAGAUCAACUUGUGCCUUGGAUUGGUUGAUUUUCUUAAAUGUUUUGUCCUGGGAAUGAUAUUGAAAUUGCCACCUCUACGUGUCUGAAACCAUAUACACCUUGCAAAUAUUUUGGGUUUUGUGAGCCAUCUGGCCUGCAUCAUAUCUGUUCAACUCGGCCCUUGUCUCACCAAAGCAGCCAGUCAUCAAAUCAGCAUGGCUGGGUCCCAAUACAAUUUUAUUUAUGAACAUUGAAAAUUGAAUUCCAUAUAAUUUUCCUAUUUUUAAAUGUUGAGGUGGAUUCGUUCUGAGAGAAGGAGUGUGGUGGGGGCAAGAGCUGCAGAGUCACCACACAGACCCUGGGAGCCAGGUGAAAGCAGGCCAGAGGUGAGCAGCCUGCAGACUCAUUUAUUUCAGUUGGUUCAGCAGCUUAUAUAGCCAAGGCAGCCAAUCCAGUCAAGGGGCGGUCUAUGCCCUAACCAAUCACAGCCUGUUGCCAGGCAGUUUCUGAAGCCAUCCAAUCACAGCCUGUUGUCAGUCAGGCUCUGUUGUCAUGUGGUUUCCGAAGCCAUCCAAUCGCAGCCUGUUGCCAGGCAGUUUCCGUUGCCAGCGGCCAUCUUGGCAUGGCCUUCUCAUUCCACCACAAUGAAAUAUUCUUCUUUUGAUUUUUUUCCAAACAUUUAAAAAUAUUAAGACCAUUCUAAUAUUGGCACUGAGAGUUUUAUCUUAAACUCUCUUCACCCAGAUGUCCAUGUGGCCAAGUCCCUUACCUCCUUCAAGCCUGACUUCACAUUGAGCCAUCUCAGUGAUGCCUAACCUGACCCCUGAGCUAGAACUGCAACUUGCAUCAGCUCCCACUGCCAUCUCUCCCUUGUGAUUUUCCCAUCAGACCUAGCACCUUCUAAAAUAGCAGUUUGUUUAUUUACUAUUGUGUUGUCUGUCUUCCCUUGACAGAUGGUGACUUCCCCCAGGCAGGGAUUGCCCCGCACAAGUUCACAGAUGCCUCUGGAGCUCCUUAAAGACUGCGUGGCAUUCAGCCAACUCUGGAACAUGCUGCUGAAUGGGCCAACCGGUAAGUCGCAGGCCCAGCAAUGCCCAGAUCAGCCCUGACAUCAGAGUGCAGGUCACGUGACAGUUACAUACAUAGAGGCCGUGGUCUUCGGAAAGGGGAUUGUCUAAGAUUCAGUUCCCAUUGGAUACUUCAUUCAGGGUGGGCCAAAGGACCUUCAAAUGCAGAGGGGAAAAAUGGAUUUUGAAUUUAAAAAAUUGAAAUUUUUAAUGAACCUCACACACUUUUAUUUUAAGAUUUAUUUUAUUUAUUUAGGAAAUGCAGAGUUAAAGAGUGGGGGAGAGGGAGAGAGAUCUUCCAUCCAUUGGUUCAAGCCAGGAGCUUCCUCCGGGUCUCCCACAUAAGUGCAGGGGCCCAAGCCCUUGGGCCAUCUUCAACUGCUUUCCCAAGCCACAGCAGAGAGCUGGAUCAGAAGAGGAGCAGCUGGGACACAUACUGGUGCCCAUAUGGGAUGCUGGUGCCACAGGCGGAUGCUCAACCUUUUACAGCACAGUUGUUUUCAUUAGAGGCAAUUCCAGAAACCAGUGGCAAGAAUAUUAGCAUGGACA